rnacentral:rRNA from 1 species
AUAUUGCACAAUGGGCGAAAGCCUGAUGCAGCGACGCCGCGUGGGGGAUGAAGGCNUUNNGGUUGNANACCCCUUUCAGCAGGNNNNNAGCGAGAGUGACGGUACCUGCAGAAGAAGCGCCGGCUAACUACGUGCCAGCAGCCGCGGUAAUACGUAGGGCGCAAGCGUUGUCCGGAAUUAUUGGGCGUAAAGAGCUCGUAGGCGGUCAGUCGCGUCUGCUGUGAAAACCCGAGGCUCAACCUCGGGCCUGCAGUGGGUACGGGCUGACUAGAGUGUGGUAGGGGAGACUGAAAUUCCUGGUGUAGCGGUGGAAUGCGCAGAUAUCAGGAGGAACACCGAUGGCGAAGGCAGGUCUCUGGGCCACAACUGACGCUGAGGAGCGAAAGCAUGGGGAGCGAACAG